CUCAGGUCUGCACUCCCUGUUUUCUAAUCACAGGAAUAGCACAGGCUCUACAGCUAGCAAUUAUUCCAAAUGAAGAGAAGAAAUGGUUAAUGGAUCCUGCGUUUUAAAUCUAUAUUAUUAAUUCAAGGAAAGAAACAGCAUGUACUAUCUGAUGCCUAUGGAGUUUUGAUCUGGGAUUGAUGUCACACUGAAGCUGCUCCAAAGUAAUGUACUAGAAAAGUCCUUGGGUCCUCAGCUGGGUAACAGGGGCAGAGAUGUCUGUCCUGAUGCCAAAUAUUGUGGCAUUCUUGGAGUUUCACCCAGAACUGUAAGCUGCUGAGAGGCUGUGAAAAUCACCAUUCAUAGAACAUCCUCUGCUUCCUGAACCUCUUCACUCUUCUUCCACCUGGAGGAAGCCUGAAACUGGUAAGUCCAAAAUUGUUGAUUUUAAAUGAGGAAAAAUAUUAAGGG
rnacentral:lncRNA from 1 species